rnacentral:rRNA from 1 species
GAUGAACGCUGGCGGCGUGCCUAAUACAUGCAAGUCGAGCGAACAGACGAGGAGCUUGCUCCUCUGAUGUUAGCGGCGGACGGGUGAGUAACACGUGGAUAACCUACCUAUAAGACUGGGAUAACUUCGGGAACCCGGAGCUAAUACCGGAUAACAUGUUGAACCGCAUGGUUCAACAGUGAAAGACGGUCUUGCUGUCACUUAUAGAUGGAUCCGCGCCGCAUUAGCUAGUUGGUAAGGUAACGGCUUACCAAGGCAACGAUGCGUAGCCGACCUGAGAGGGUGAUCGGCCACGCUGGAACUGAGACACGGUCCAGACUCCUACGGGAGGCAGCAGUAGGGAAUCUUCCGCAAUGGGCGAAAGCCUGACGGAGCAACGCCGCGUGAGUGAAGAAGGUCUUCGGAUCGUAAAACUCUGUUAUUAGGGAAGAACAAAUGUGUAAGUAACUAUGCACGUCUUGACGGUACCUAAUCAGAAAGCCACGGCUAACUACGUG